GUGACGUCAUCGCAGGUCCUGCAGCCCCAGGAGGUGAGAUCUGCAGGUGCGGGACUUUUUUGUUUAAAGCUGAUGGUUCUAUCCAUCAAUGACCCACCAACGAUGGAGAAGGACAGAGACCACAGGGCUGCGAGGAUAUUAGACCUCACCCUGGAGAUCAUCUCCUUGAUAACUGGAGAGGAUUACAAAGUAGUGAAGAAGUCGUCUGGUGAGUGUG